GGCCCGGUGGUGAAAUUGGUAUACACGCAAGACUUAAAAUCUUGUUGCAGCAAUGCAGUGUGGGUUCGAGUCCCACCCGGGCCA
rfam:Candidatus Curtissbacteria bacterium RIFCSPHIGHO2_01_FTLL_41_11 rifcsphigho2_01_scaffold_16224, whole genome shotgun sequence.